rnacentral:tRNA from 1 species
GCUCGACUGCUUAAGCGUCUGACUUCAGCUCAGGUCAUGAUCUCUGUUUGUGGGUUCGAGCCCCACGUCGGGCU